AUCUGAUCUCAAAUCAGGUAGGACUACCCGCUGAACUUAAGCAUAUCAAUAAGCGGAGGAAAAGAAACUAACAAGGAUUCCCCUAGUAACGGCGAGUGAAGCGGGAAGAGCUCAAAUUUAAAAUCUGGCGGUGUAUUCCGUCCGAGUUGUAGUCUAGAGAAGCAUCAUCCGUGCUGGACCAUGUACAAGUCUCUUGGAACAGAGCGUCAUAGAGGGUGAGAAUCCCGUCCUUGACAUGGACUCCCAGUGCUUUGUGUUGUGCUCUCAACGAGUCGAGUUGUUUGGGAAUGCAGCUCAAAAUGGGUGGUAAAUUCCAUCUAAAGCUAAAUAUUGGCGAGAGACCGAUAGCGAACAAGUACCGUGAGGGAAAGAUGAAAAGCACUUUGGAGAGAGAGUUAAACAGUACGUGAAAUUGUUGAAAUGGAAACGCUUGAAGUCAGUCGCGUUCUCUGGGAUUCAGCCUUGCUUCUGCUUGGUGCACUUCCUAGUUUACGGGCCAACAUGGAUUUUGACCGGUGGAAAAGGAUUUGGGGAAUGUGGCACCUCCGGGU
rnacentral:rRNA from 1 species